GGGGACGCGGGCCAGGCCGGGGGUCCUGGGCAGGUCUGGAGCCCGAUAUGAUGGCCGCUGCGGACUUGUGUUCAGUGAGGCGUGGUGGUCGUGCCCUUUCGUGUCCUCAGGUGGCUACUGUGACCUUCACCUCUCCUGCAUGCCCGGGUCGGACCAGUUCCGUCGGAUACGGUGACGUGGAGAGGGCACCUGGUCUCUCUGGCUCGGGUCUUAGUCUAGUGGGUGACAUGUUAAUCAGCGUGCAGUUACCGUGGUCCUGAGGGAUGAAGGCCAAGGAACUUGGCGUAGACUGGAAGGCUUCCUGGAGGAGGUGACAGCCCCAGCGUAAUAUAGGGGAAAGGGGAAACUGGAGACAGACAAGCACACAGGGAGAACGAUGUGAACAUGGAUGGCCAUCUGCAAGCUCAGGAGAGCGGCCUGGAACAGACUCACUCCCUCAGCGGCUCUCGGGGGAAGCAGCCUCUGACACCAUGAUCUUGGACUUCUGGAUUCCAGAACAGUGGGGAGAUAAAUUUGUGUUGUUUAAGCCUCCAGGUUUAUGAACCGGUCAGCAGGGAGCCAGGCAGUCGCCACGUGAGGCCGUUGCGAAGGCCGUGCUCUGGCUGAGAUGAGCGAGUUCCUGGAACAGGCGCUAGAGGGGGCUGCAAGCCAGACGUGCCGACAGGCCACUCACGGAGUACAUGGUCACUGCCUUGGCAUCUGUUCUGUGUGGCCCUCUGCCUGCGGGGCCUUGAACUGACAGGAGCCCUCCCUCGAGUGCGUGCCCUAGGUGACAGCCCGCAGAGUCACCAGUAAACCGAAGUUCCUGAUGUGACCCCCCCAACACCCUUGUGAUAACCUCUCUCCUGUGGGCCCCGUAGAUUAAACCCCUGUGAAGCUCACCAAAGCCCUGCUCCCUCUGGUUUGAGCUGACCUAUCCAGCCUUAGCCCAGGAACCCCAAAGCACAGCCCUGUGGACCUAACACAGGUGUGUGCCCCGGGUCCUGCCUCCUGGGCACUGUGCCUGUACCUCCUCCAGGACCUGUGAGUCAUAAGCUUCUCUGUUCCGCUAUUCCUUGAGGUCUUUGUUGAACCAGCAGGCAGCCUGGCCACAUGCCUUCUGACACUGCAGGCAGCACCCACAGGGAUGGAGUGACGGCCAGGGCAGCACCAGGAGAAUGGAGCAGACAGGAAGGGCAUUGCAAGGGCCGGGAAAAUAAAACUAUCAUUGGAACCACAGGCCAUAAAAGUAGGCUGGAAUUUACACACUAAACCUAAAUGGGGCGACUUUCUGCUGAAAUAGAAGAUUAAUUUUUUUUUUGAUGUGGACCAUUUUUUAAAGUUUUUAUUGAAUUUGUUACAAUAUUGCUUUUUUUUUUUUUUUUUUUUUUUUUAUGUUUUGGUGUUUUGGCCGCAAGGCAUGUGGGAUCCUAGAUCCCUGGCCAGGGAUAGAACCUGCACCCCUUGCAUUGGAAGGUGAAGUCUUAACCACUGGACCACCAGGGAAGUCCCUGAAAUAGAAGAUUUAAAUAAAAUCAGGUUUCUUCUAACACAAUAACCAAAAUGUCCAGUAUACAGUAAAAAACCACUGGUCAUACCGAGAACCAAGGAAAACCAUUAUUUGAACGUGAAAAGUGAACUGACGUGAACACCAAGAUAAAUCUUGGAAUUA